rnacentral:rRNA from 1 species
AUUGAACGCUGGCGGCAGGCCUAACACAUGCAAGUCGAACGAGUGGCGGACGGGUGAGUAAUGUCUGGGAAACUGCCUGAUGGAGGGGGAUAACUACUGGAAACGGUAGCUAAUACCGCAUACCAUCGGCUAUGCCCAGAUGGGAUUAGCUAGUGGGGGGGGUAACGGCUCACCUAGGCGACGAGCCCUAGCUGGUCUGAGAGGAUGACAAGCCACACUGUAACGGAGACACGGUCCUGACUCCUACGUGAGGCAGCAGUGGGGAAUAUUGCGCAAUGGGCGCAAGCCUGAUGCAGCCAUGCCGCGUGUAUGAAGAAGGCCUUCGGGUUGUAAAGUACUUUCAGCGGGGAGGCGGUACCCGCAGAAGAAGCACCGGCUAACUCCGUGCCAGCAGCCGCGGUAAUUC